CUUUUGUGACUGUACUUGCAGAAGAAGCACGGCUAAUACGUGCCUGCAGCCGCGGUAAUACGUCGGGUGCAGCGUGUCAGGAAUUAUUGGGCGUAAGAGCUCGUAGGCGGUUUGUCGAGUGUGCUGUGAAAAUUCAGGGCUUAACCCAGGACGUGCAGUGGGUACGGGCAGACUAGAGUGUGGUAGGGGAGACGGGAAUUCCUGGUGUAGCGGUGGACUGCGCAGAUAUCAGGAGGAACACCGAUGGCGAAGGCAGGUCUCUGGGCCAUUACUGACGCUGAGAAGCGAAAGCCUGGGGAGCGAACAGGCUUAGAUACCCUGGUAGUCCCAUGCCGUAAACGUUGGGCGCUAGGCGUGGGUCUCAUUCCACGAGAUCCCGUGUCGCAGCUAACGCAUUAAGCGCCCCGCCUGGGGAGUACGGCCGCAAGGUUAAAACUCAAAGGAAUUGACGGGGGCCCGCACAAGCGGCGGAGCGUGCUGAUUAAUUCGAUGCAACGUGAAGAACCUUACCAAGGCUUGACUUGCACUGGAUCGCAUAAGAGAUGGGGUUUCCCUUUGGGCUGGUGCACAGGUGGUGCAUGGUUGUCGUCAUCUCGCGUCGUGAGAUGUUGGGUUAAGUCCCGCAACGAGCGCAACCCUCCUUUUAUUUAGCCACCACGUGAUGGUGGGGACUCAUAGGAGACUGCCGGGGUCAACUCGGAGGAAGGUGGGGAUGACGUCAAAUCAUCAUGCCCCUUAUGUUCCAUGCUUCAAGCAUAAAUCAUUGCCCCAACCAGACGGUUGAGGGUCCGUGAGGUGGAGCGAAUCCCAAAAAAUCGAUCUCAUUUCGGAGUGGGGUGUGCAACUUGACCCCAUGAAGUUGGAGUCGUUAGUA
rnacentral:rRNA from 1 species